rnacentral:rRNA from 1 species
UACGUAGGGGGCAAGCGUUGUCCGGAUUUAUUGGGCGUAAAGAGCGUGUAGGCGGCUAUGCAGGUCCGCUGUGAAAACUCGAGGCUCAACCUCGAGACGUCGGUGGAAACCGCAUGGCUAGAGUCCGGAAGAGGAGAGUGGAAUUCCCGGUGUAGCGGUGAAAUGCGCAGAUAUCGGGAAGAACACCUAUGGCGAAGGCAGCUCUCUGGGACGGUACUGACGCUGAGACGCGAAAGCGUGGGGAGCGAACAGG